AUUGAACGCUGGCGGCAGGCUUAACACAUGCAAGUCGAGCGGAGCGGCGGACGGGUGAGUAAUGCUUAGGAAUAUGAAUGGUAGUGGGGGAUAACGUUCGGAAAUGGGCGCUAAUACCGCAUACUAUCAGAAGAGCCUAGGCCUGAUGAGGUAGUUGGUGGGGUAAAGGCCUACCAAGGCGACGAUCCGUAACUGGUCUGAGAGGAUGAUCAGUCACACUGGAACUGAGACACGGUCCAGACUCCUACGGGAGGCAGCAGUGGGGAAUAUUGGACAAUGGGCGAAAGCCUGAUCCAGCCAUGCCGCGUGUGUGAAGAAGGUCUUCGGAUUGUAAAGCACUUUCAGUUGGGAGGCGUUACCCACAGAAUAAGCACCGGCUAACUUCGUGCCAGCAGCCGCGGUAAUUC
rnacentral:rRNA from 1 species